rnacentral:lncRNA from 1 species
AACAAGAAAAUACCGAGCAAAAGGAUUUUCUGUUUUCACGAAGUGACGGCCAAGUACGCGCUUAACAGCCGUCAAUUCGUGAAAACAUCGUUUGCUCUUUUCCUGCUUUUAAUAUUUUCACGAAGUGACGGUAGUGAAAAUUUCGCAGUUUGGAACAGUCACAGACCAUGAAAAGUUUCAGAUGCAGUAGAUACAAUUUUCACUUGUAUGAAGGAAGCACUGGGAAAGUACAUCUACUUUUCAAGAAUGCCACAGGCCAGAAACAAAUCCAGAUUGGAUACGGGGACCGACAUGCUGGUAAGAUGGGUCCUUGAUAAUUCACUGAACACAGAGCUGGGAUUGUGACUUGGCAUAGUGACCUAAGAGUGGGAGCGGUAUGGAAUCGUUGAAGCAAUUCACCGAACACGUACAGUCAGAGCUGCAUGUGUGACUUGGCAUGGUGACCCUUAAAGUCUCCUGACGGCUCCGAUUGCGAUUCUGAUGAUGACCCAUUGUCUAUGCUUCUGAGCGAGUCAAAAGUCUAGAUAAAGGAUCUUCGCUGCUUCAACCACUAUUGCUUGGAUGACAUACGUGUGAAGAAACUUGAAGAACUGUUGUUGAAGAGCAUGCUUGAGAAACUAGAAUCAAUUACAUGAUCGUUUUGACAAUGCUUCAAUGUUUCAAUACCUCAAUCUCUCUUUUAUACUGUUUUAUUUUAAACAUUUUAAAUAUCAUAAACAAAGCAAACACCACUCAUAAUUGUAAUCGUGUGUUGUAAUCGCAAUGAAAUGGAUUGAUUAUAAAAUCAAUGAAUUGAUUAAAGGCAAACUGGUAACAUUGUCCAUGAUUUCUGAAACAAUGAACUGAAUAGUCGUACAGGUGUCAGUUUUCUGUUACAGUAUUGCAAUGAACUCCUGCACACAUAAAUCUUUAUUAUUCAAAUGUAUAGCUCAGAACAGCUAUUUAUCGGGUAUACCUACCUCGAUCAGUAAUGCAUAUUAGAGUUUUCGAUUCCAGUUCCAUGAAUCCUCAUAUCGUAUCUUUGUAUUGAAGAAUUUGUUUAUCUAUUUUCUUUAAAUGUUUGUAUUCACAGGGGUUGAUGCCUUCAUUAGAACAUGAAUAUAAGUUACAUUUCCACAAUUGAUUUUUCUUUCAAAACACAAUGUUACUAGUUCACAUUUAAUGUUUAUAUUUUUACUUCUAUAGUCAUUCUCAUCAUAAUUGUAUUUGGUACUUCAAACUAUCUUAUAAUCAUACAAUAUAAUGUUGCUGUUUUGAAUUUUAUCUGUUUGAUGAGAAAUGAAAUUGUUUAGUCAAAUUGAUAUUUCCAUGUUUAUCAUGCAUUGUUCAGCUGAUAAUUGUUUAGUCAGAGAUUACGUGUUUGGUAAACUUUGUAGCGUUUGAGACUGUGUACUAAAUUUUAUUGAAAUACCCUAGAAAGAGAUUGUGUAAACUGACUUGCUUCUGAAACUCUACUCACAAGAUAUUAAUGAAAAACAGUAAUGAACAAAAAAGUAAUGAUCAUGAUUAUAUUAGUCAUAUUUCCCAUUGCCUCGUUUUGUUACGAUCAACAUGUAAACCUUUCAGCCAGAACAGGAUAACCAUGGCGUGCAAGAAAGAGACUAUACCACACAGUACUGUUUUGAAUACCUCUUUUGUCUUCAGGUAAAAAAAAUCUGUGCAGAUGAACCUUUAAAAAAAAAGAGUUUAUUUAGUAACCAGUAUAUUUCAGCAUGCUAAUGAUGUAAAAUUUCUUAUUCAUUUUUUUUUGGAAUGGUAUUUUGAAUAUAGAUUUAUUUCUUUGUUGACUUCAUCAUACAUGUAGUACAUGUAUGUCAAGCAUUUUGUAUGUCACAUGUGGCAUUUAUUUGCUAUGAUUGCUGAAUAAACAUGAUAACCAGGACAUGUAUGAAGAAUAAGUUAAAGACAUUUUUAGCAUAUUUAGUACUGUAUAAUGUGCUAAAUAACCUUUGUAUUCCGUGGCUGUAUACCUGAUGAGUCUUUUCCACAAAUCCCUAAAUGUACAUUUCAAAAUGCAAUAUAGUAUUGAUGAUAAUUGAUGAUGAUAUGUUUGGUAUGAAUUAUUUAAUAUUUUUUAUUUAUUCUCCAUUUGCCACUUGCUGUUCUGGUUCCAAAUGUUUGAAUUAAAACUGCUCAGUCGAAAUUCA